CUUGGUAGCAAGAAAGCAAAGUAGUUCCUGUCCCGCUUCCUCAUUUAUCUGGGUCACUGUGUUCACCCAAAUUGUCCACUAAUGAUAUAAUCUGCACCACAGAUGUAGUCAGCUUCAUCUUCAAGCUGCAUGUUGGAGAUGCUCAAGUAUCGAUGAGCACCGGAGCUGGAGCCAGAGAAGCGAUCAGGGAUCCCAUCCCCCUUGCCGUGGCUUCCAUCACUCUCAAGAUACAUCACGUCCUUAGGAGCCUUGUCUGGAUGUUGCUGAUACCAAUGAAUGGUGUAGGUGCUAUGCUCACUACUCAAGGUGCAGGAGAUAUGCAAAACAGAAGGUAGAAACAUUGUAUGAGCGAGAGCUGGUGGAUGACUCCAAUGAAAGAGCAUCUUCCAGACAUAACAGAUUCUAACCAUUUAAAGAGUUACGGGUUUUGAUCCUCUGGACCAUGGACAUGCUGUCUAGAUGCAGGUCUGCACCCCACCCUCCAGCCCACACCGAUGUGCUGUCUGGCCCAGCCCUGAGUCACACCCUCCAGCCAGAAAUUCUGCUACACUGCUUGUCUCACAGAGCCUGAAUCAGCCUGCACUUCCUGCGGUUCCACUGUAUUCCAGCCUUCAAGACCCCCAGCUUCGCCCCCAUAUCAGCAGGAAGUAACCACAGACAACUUCUAAGCCCCCUUUGUCAUACACCCUUCUUUUUUUUUCUGAACUGAACUCUCCAGCCCAGAGGCUGGACUGCCCUUAAAAAAUGCUCUAUUGUUAAUUGUAUAAGUUCUGUGCAUGAUCCUGAAAUGUAUGUACUAGCAGACAUUCUCCUCAUGUACUUUUCAUAAUUGUUCUGUAUGGAAGUCUUGUCAUGUAUACCCUGACACAAGUUAUUACUGUUUUCUCACAGUUAGUGGUUUAAUAUUGCAUUGAUUACAAAUUUAAACUAGGUAAGCUUCAGCUGCAGCCUUGGUCCCACAGGUGCUCAUGACUUACUCAGGUAGCUCUUUAACUAUGCCUCCUUAAAAUACAGGUUAACCAAAUUAAUACCACUAACCCAAGAUUAAUAGAUAGAGUUAACAUUCCAAACUAACCAUUUCUUUUUGAUAAAUUACAAUCAUGGUAUUCAGACACUUUUGACCAUAUUAUGCCAUACUAGCUAAGGAUAGUUUUUUUAUGUUACUCAUCUGCUCCCUUUCUGAGACAGAGAUAUUGUAACUAUAUACAGCUAUACCUAUUAGAUGGUUAAACUAAUCCUCAUCCUGCCAUCUAUAUAGACAAUUGAUUAUAAGUAUAUAUUAUAGGUACAAUAUUGAUUAAAUAUCAAUAUUAAUUAAUCAUUACUUAUCAUUUUUCAGAAAUCCCCAAAUUUAAGUUUAUCUACAUAGUCAUUCUAGAGAGAAUGAAAACUUUUUUUAACUAAACAACAACAAAAACAAAACGGGAACUGCUGCAGGCCGCAGGAAUAUAUC